rnacentral:lncRNA from 1 species
AAAAUGAGUCUUUGCAUUUAGAUUCAAAUGAACAUCUGAACAAAAUGACGGGGUUUGCGGCAGAUUACCCUGCUGAAACCCUGUCGGCCUGCCGUGGGGUUUCGCAGAGUCUGAAGUCUCUGGGAAGGAGGAAGACGCUGCUGAAGGAUGCGAGAGCGAUGGGGAAUGGUGGGAGUGUCGGGGCCGGGCUGGGGUUUGGAGGAAAAGCCUCUGCUCGGAUGGUAGACGGGAGGGCAGCUCCACAGCCAGGCUUUGAUUUACGCACCGUGCACUUUCUGUGCUCCAGAGCCCCUCGGAAUGCAGUCCUGGAUGAUACUGAACUCCACCGCAGAAACAAGCAUGGAAGCCGACAUAAUUAAAGGCUUCUUUUUCCCCAGCCAUGGUCCUCUGGUCUUUGAAGAGCUCGGGAAUCCCUGAGGAAUGCUCUGAACUCUGCAAUAUUUUGAUAGCUGCAAUAACAUAAUCAAAAGAUGCUUUCAUGAAGAGAGCACCUUGUGUGAAUUGAGGCUGCCCCCUCUCCCCCCGCCGAUCGCCGCUUUAAUGGGGUCCAGAGCUCGAGCACAGAUGGGUAAGUCGUAUUUUCUGCCUGUGCUUCUCCGGGGAGGCUGCCUCGCUCCACGCUGGAGUGGUUUUUUGGGGAAGAGCCGGAGCGUUUUCCUGCGUCCCCCCUCGGCUGGGAGCCCGGCUGGGGGCGACGGGGGGAGCGGGGGCUGAGCCCACCCUCCCCAGCCUGGGCUCUGCUGCCCUUCAAAUUACUGCGCACAGCAAUCCUCUUCUGCUUGAGAGCCCACCAGGUUGUUAUUCAUCCUGAAAUCCUCAUUAAAACCCUUUAAUUUCUCCCUUUCGUUAGCUAACUGGCUCAUCUGUUUGCACGAAUCCUUCUCGCUGGGCCCAAGCCAUUGAAAUCCUGAUUUUUCUUUUUCCCCUGGUUGUCUCCUCGAGCUGCAGCCCCAUGCGUGUCCGCUCCACCUGAGUUUUGGCAGCGGGGGCUGUUUGGAACGAGGAAAUUGGGGCAUUUCUUUAAUCAUUAAGCUGGAAUCAUUAAGCUUUAAUCAGGCCAAAUUAGGGUUUCGGAUCCCGCCGCCUCGCACCAGUCGCUAAUUGUAUGAAUCCAGUCGCUCUUGAAGCAGAGCUGUCCCGGGGCUCUGUCCUCCCCGGAGGGAGGGCACUGGGCACGGUGCCACCGAUGUCCCCCCCGGGCCAGGACCCCAUGGCUCCCGUGGCAGCGAUGCUUUUGAGCCUUCUGGCCACUGUGAGCAUGUCCCUGGGAGGAAACAGGGCUGGUCCAUGAGGACCAGCCCCCGCCAGGGCAUCGGGAUGGUUCCAGGGCCAAGGUGGGAUGGCUGGUCCUGCAGCUCC